UUUGCUGGUGGGAAUUGCACUUAAUUAACCACCGUGCCAUGGCCACAUGGUGUGGCAGCAGUGGGGUUAAACGUGGAGGUUUCCCUGUGUUUUUAGAGGAGGGGGUGGGGAAGAGGCGGGUGCUGGAUCAGACUUCACAGGUUUCUCCGCCAUCUCUUUCCGGGGGAGGGGAUGUGAUUAAUGACUUCCUAAAUAAGAGCCAAGCAUUGGAAAGGGAGAGGGGGAUGAAAAAGCCUUCAUCAACGUGGAUUGUUCUUUGGGAGUCACCGGAGGGGAGGGGGGCUAGAAAUAGGCAAGGACAAUGGGCUAAAUGAGCGACAGAGCACGCACCCAUCUAUUGGAGAUGUGCCUAUAUCAUCCCAUUCAUACAAUAAGAAUGUUGUAUGUUAUAUAGGGUUUUACUUGUCGUCUACAAAUAGGAGCUUUAAACAAAGGCAAUAUAUUUUGGCCUGCCUUUAGCCACUGCUUCAUUCAUCUAUUACGCACUGACCCGAUAUUGCUAUUAUGUUGAGACAAUUCUCUUCCAAAUUAUAGGCCAUGAGACUUCUAGUAUUAAGGUAGCCUGCUCACCUUAGAUGCACUGAAACUGGGUUGGUAUUUCAACUAUCAUACUUGUUUAUGGCGUUAAUCCUUUAGAGAUGCCAAUCAUUUAAUGCAGUAACCUAUAUACCUAGAUUCAUUCGCCAUCAAAUUCAGAGCUCAGGACAAGCUGGAUCCCUUGUCAAAACGGAAGCCCAUUAUUUCUAGGUGCAGUUAAACCAGCCCAGAAAGUACACUGGCCAAGAUGAGAACAUGUAACUCUGCUCCUGACCUACCAGUUUGAGGUCAAACACUACAGCUUGCUUCCCAAAUGCCAGGAGGUAUUUGUCUCAAUUGAUGUGCGAGUCCCAACUAUGGGGGAAGGGCGCUAAUACCUUUCAGAACGCCAGGCAUUCUCUAUCCGAACACAAGUAGUACUUCACUGAGAGAACUGCCUCCCGCUAGUAGCGAUUCUGCAGUCGAAACUAACAAUGUCCGCUAAAGCUGUCCUUGGCAAAGAUGGUCUUGCUUUAGGGACAGCCUAGUCAGAAGGAUCGGUCCAAAGCAUGUUUAGUGGGUAGCUAGAAGCUUAUCAGCUGUUAGUUCAUUUGACCUCUUUGCACCCUAGUUACAUUGGCAGGUCUCUGCUGGGACCGACUGCAGGUUAUUACAGAACCGGAUCCAUUAACAUGGAUUGGAUGUAAGUAAAUAUCCAGUUAUUUAUCUAGUACAGACAAUGUUUUUGGGGGCUGAAAGUUGGGUUCCCCUAGGAAAGCAGUCACACAGGUAGCCUCCGUCAUCCUGCUGGCUAUAUUCAAGAAGUCAUGUGUGAAGAGACCGGGUGUGCCAAGCAACAUUUCCCCCCACCCCCCAAAAAGAAAAGAAAAAAGUUAACAGCAAUUGGAUAAGUGGAGCAGAAGCCUAAUCCCGAAAUUCCUUUGCAGUCUUGAACCGUAAAUUCUCAAUAGGUUGUGUUGGCAAUAUCUGUCCUAUAAUGACCUGCCCUUCCCAUAUAGAGGCGGAGCCUGAGCUCAAAGCGCUGUUCCCACGUGGAAUACACAUUUGCUAUCAAACAGGCGCUGGGAAAAACACGGGGCUGAAAGGAAACCACGGCAGUCCCUUCCCAUACCCCUGUUCAUACAGAUUUAUUGGUAUAUCUCAAACAUUCCUCGAGUCAAGCAGUGUAAGUGUACUUAGAGCAGUUUGGAAAUGUUAAUUUGAGCGCAUUUUGGCGAAACGCGGACGUCGAUUGGACUAGAUCGUAUCGUCUGUAGCUAUAUACUAAUAUUUCCUGUCGGUAAGGAAAUGUUCGUUUUGGUAGCAGAUUAAACAAAUUUAAACAGGGUUUUUAAACGUAAAUGUAUUGUUCUAGUGCAAGAGCACAACAUAGAAAGUGUCUAUAGAUCUUUGCUAGAAUUUACUGUCUAAAACCUUUCUGAUCGUUUAAUCAAUAGGAAAGGAUGUGCCUUACCCCUACGCCUAUAUAAACACGUUAUUGUAUUUGCAACAGACGUUCACCGUAAAGACCAAACAAAGUUGUAUAUAAACAUAUCUGGUCAUAUCUUCAGUCCUCCCAAGGACAUGUAGCUAUUUACUACAAAUAGUAAUUGCCCUUCACAUGAGGGGGUAGUUUAACAUGCUACAUAUAUGUAAAAGCUUUGCUAAAUGUGUAACUCAAAUAUUAUGUGCCUUUUAUGCAAAAUGAAGGGGUCCUCUACCCAAAAUCUGUUCUUGCCAAAUGAAAGAAAUUUAAUUCUAAGCAACUAUCCCAGCUAGAGUCAGUAAAGAUUUUUAAUGUUUUUUUUUUUAAUCUGGCAAAGCCAUUGCCCCUUUAUCCUUUUCUUUCUGUUUUGUUCAUUGUUUAAAGUCUCUUAAAACAAUGUAAUAGAAGUCGGUUUUCUUCUAGAUUUUUUUUUUUAUCAGCUGGUUUGCAACAUUGUUACAGGAUUCAGAAACAGGAUGUAGAAAGGCAGAUAUUGCUAUUUUGUAGCAAUGAUAUUUUCGAAUACAUUUAAAGCCACUGAAAAUGCUUAAUGCAUAGUGGAUAGUGGCUGCUUUCAAAAUCUUUUAUCAAGAAAAAAUAGUUUUGGGCAGAAGACCCCUUGAAAUGCUAAGAAGCUUUCUAAAUUCUGGGAUUGUAUUUAAUGCCACUAAUGGAACUAGUGGGAUCACACUCAAAUUAUUAGAGACACAAUGCAUGCUGCAGAAACAAAGGAAUGAGCAAUCACUUUUUAUUAGAAAUAAAAUGUAGUUCUACAUCAGUAGUUUUAAAGUUAUAUGUAAAUGCAAUGGUGCUACAUUGUUUCAGAAGCAGAAGUGUGGAAAAUGUAAACAGCCAGACAGAUGCUUUCAAAUGAAAAUGUUUACAGAUACUUUCCAAUGAUUUUAAAUUUUAUUUCAAAACUGUUUGGGGGUCUGUGGUUUGCAUUAAUAAUGCCUAAGUUUAGAGAGUAGUAUAAUGUGAUAAGAUUUUCCUAUAGUCCCAGUACUUGCAGCAGGGAAAAUAGGAUACUAUCCAUGUUUAGUUCUAUCUGGAAUACAUGGAUUUUAAAGUGGAUAGAAGAGUAAGGGUGUGUGUCUUUCAAAUUUAUUGUUUGUUUUCUCAGUUAUUGCGAGACUGUUUUACCUUUCCUAUCAGGAAAUGCAUGCUCAGGGCAAGCAAAUAUUAAGUCUCACAACGCUUUUCCUGCUUUUCUUUUGAUCGGUUCAUUAAGGGUGUCAUUUGUUUAGCAUACACGAUGGUGCCGUUUUAAGAUACUCUAUAGUUGAUAUACAGGUGUCCAUUAUGCAUUUUCCGCCAUGCUGUAACACAAGGACGCCAACAUCAAGUUGGCUGGAACUACAACUGCCAUGAACCUCAGAUGUUCAGUGCAUGUUGGGAACUGCAGUGCAAUAGCCGCUGGUUCAACAUGACUGGUCUCAUGGUGGCAAGUGAGCUUUCCUUUGUAUAAUAUGUAUGCAUUUAACCAGUCUAAAUUAACUGUCGGUCGCCAUCCUUCAGGCUAUAGUGACUAGCGUUUCCUAUAAAAACAAACUAAAUAGAAGCUAGCUGUGACACAAAUUCGCUGGGUAUUCACAAGGGUUGGCAUCGGCCCCGGAGCUCUUUCCAAGCCGGUCACUGUUCCCCAGUGUUUGGUAUUUGUGCGUGCUUUAGUGAGCGUACGCUCGGACCGGUGCGACACCGCGAAGCACGUGACCCGCCCUGGGUGAUUCCCGCUUUUUCUGCCUUGUGUAGAAAGCCGAAAUUACGCCGGAAAAAAACCACUCGAGGUGCGUUUAUACAGCCUCUUAUAGCAUUCCGCAUCAUAAGUACGUGUGUCAUUAUGUCAGAAAGAACAAUUAGCGCCGGUAAGCACUCUCUCAUGUUAGUGACUGAAAACGUUCCUAAAUGGAUACUAAUUUCCCGCCACCCUGUCAAUCACAGGGCACCGCCAAUAACUGCCAAGGUAGUAUCACCCGUUUUAUAAUAAUCCCUAGCACUACACACGGAGAAUAGAUAGAAAGGCGACCUGCUCAAAUUAGCUUGUACAUAUACAAUGACUCAAUCCUUUAACACGUUUUAGCAAGAGAUCCUUGGACAGAACAGGGUACUGUGUUUCCAUAUUACAUACUAAAAGGCCUCAAGGGAUCAACACAGGGUUGGAAGCCUGACUUCCCUGCACCUGAUACAAUGUUAAAGCGAAUGUGGUAUUACAAAUGACUGGUAAACAGUAAAGUAAGCCAAUUAAUCCAGCGAAGAGCAAGUGGUUGUUAUAUACUGGUGACUGCAGCAAUUAACCCAGAACUAUAGACCAUAGCUCUUAACAGUGUCAAAAGUGAGUGGAAUUGUCUAUGAUUUAUUGCAGUGGAGUUGUUAUACUUGUGGGGCAAAUUUAUUAAACUAGAGAAUCCAGAAUGUUUCCAACAGAUCAAUCUGUUUAACAACACUUUCCCGACUGUCAGGAAAAUUUCACCAAUUAAAAAAAAAACAGGAAAAAUGUUACAGAAUUAAAACAUUUAUCAAAGAGA